GAUGAAGAACGCAGUGAAAUGCGAUAAGUAAUGUGAAUUGCAGAAUUCAGUGAAUCAUCGAAUCUUUGAACGCACCUUGCACCCUUUGGCAUUCCGAAGGGUAUGCUCGUUUGAGUGUCAUUGUACUCUCACACUCCCAAUUGCUUUGGAUUGGGAGCGGUGGACUUGGGUGUUGCUGCUUGACUGAGGCUCACCUGAAAUAUGUUAGUGCACCUCUUGAUUGGACAUAGUACGGCGUGAUAGGUGUCUUCGCCGGCUCCUCGCAAAGAGGGUGGCCGAUCGGGAGCUCUGUUGCUUCAAACUGUCUUCGGACAAUCUUCUGGCGACUUGACCUCAAAUCGAGUAGGACUACCCGCUGAACUUAAGCAUAUCAAUAAGCGGAGGA
rnacentral:misc_RNA from 1 species